rnacentral:rRNA from 1 species
UACGGAAGGGGCGAGCGUUGUUCGGAAUCAUUGGGCGUAAAGGGCGCGUAGGUGGUCCUGUAUGUCUACCGUGAAAGCGUACGGCUCAACCGUAUUUUGUCGGUAGAAACUGCAGGACUUGAGGCUGGGAGGGGCUGGUGGAAUUCCCUGUGUAGCGGUGAAAUGCGUAGAGAUGGGGGAGAACACUCGUGGCGAAGGCGGCCAGCUAGACCAGUUCUGACACUGAGGCGCGACAGCGUGGGGAGCAAACAGG